UACGUAGGGGGCGAGCGUUGUCCGGAUUUAUUGGGCGUAAAAGGCUUGUAGGUGGCCACGUCAAGUCGGAUGUGAAAUCCCUCAGCUUAACUGGGGAACUGCGUCUGAUACUGGCGAGCUUGAGUGCAGGAGAGGAACGCGGAAUUCCAGGUGUAGCGGUGAAAUGCGUAGAUAUCUGGAGGAACACCGGUGGCGAAGGCGGCUAUCUGGUCCAACACUGACACUGAGGCCCGAAAGCGUGGGGAUCAAACAGG
rnacentral:rRNA from 1 species